rnacentral:rRNA from 1 species
UGCGAAGGGGGCUAGCGUUGUUCGGAAUCACUGGGCGUAAAGCGCACGUAGGCGGAUCGUUAAGUCGGGGGUGAAAUCCUGAGGCUCAACCUCAGUACUGCCUCCGAUACUGGCGAUCUCGAGUCCGGAAGAGGUUGGUGGAACAGCUAGUGUAGAGGUGAAAUUCGUAGAUAUUAGCUAGAACACCAGUGGCGAAGGCGGCCAACUGGUCCGGUACUGACGCUGAGGUGCGAAAGCGUGGGGAGCAAACAGG